rnacentral:rRNA from 1 species
GAUGAACGCUGGCGGCGUGCCUAAUACAUGCAAGUCGAGCGAACAGACAAGGAGCUUGCUCCUUUGACGUUAGCGGCGGACGGGUGAGUAACACGUGGGUAACCUACCUAUAAGACUGGGAUAACUUCGGGAAACCGGAGCUAAUACCGGAUAAUAUUUCGAACCGCAUGGUUCGAUAGUGAAAGAUGGUUUUGCUAUCACUUAUAGAUGGACCCGCGCCGUAUUAGCUAGUUGGUAAGGUAACGGCUUACCAAGGCGACGAUACGUAGCCGACCUGAGAGGGUGAUCGGCCACACUGGAACUGAGACACGGUCCAGACUCCUACGGGAGGCAGCAGUAGGGAAUCUUCCGCAAUGGGCGAAAGCCUGACGGAGCAACGCCGCGUGAGUGAUGAAGGUCUUCGGAUCGUAAAACUCUGUUAUUAGGGAAGAACAUACGUGUAAGUAACUAUGCACGUCUUGACGGUACCUAAUCAGAAAGCCACGGCUAACUACGUGCCAGCAGCCGCGGUAAUACGUAGGUGGCAAGCGUUAUCCGGAAUUAUUGGGCGUAAAGCGCGCGUAGGCGGUUUUUUAAGUCUGAUGUGAAAGCCCACGGCUCAACCGUGGAGGGUCAUUGGAAACUGUAAAACUUGAGUGCAGAAGAGGAAAGUGGAAUUCCAUGUGUAGCGGUGAAAUGCGCAGAGAUAUGGAGGAACACCAGUGGCGAAGGCGACUUUCUGGUCUGUAACUGACGCUGAUGUGCGAAAGCGUGGGGAUCAAACAGGAUUAGAUACCCUGGUAGUCCACGCCGUAAACGAUGAGUGCUAAGUGUUAGGGGGUUUCCGCCCCUUAGUGCUGCAGCUAACGCAUUAAGCACUCCGCCUGGGGAGUACGACCGCAAGGUUGAAACUCAAAGGAAUUGACGGGGACCCGCACAAGCGGUGGAGCAUGUGGUUUAAUUCGAAGCAACGCGAAGAACCUUACCAAAUCUUGACAUCCUUUGACAACUCUAGAGAUAGAGCCUUCCCCUUCGGGGGACAAAGUGACAGGUGGUGCAUGGUUGUCGUCAGCUCGUGUCGUGAGAUGUUGGGUUAAGUCCCGCAACGAGCGCAACCCUUAAGCUUAGUUGCCAUCAUUAAGUUGGGCACUCUAAGUUGACUGCCGGUGACAAACCGGAGGAAGGUGGGGAUGACGUCAAAUCAUCAUGCCCCUUAUGAUUUGGGCUACACACGUGCUACAAUGGACAAUACAAAGGGCAGCGAAACCGCGAGGUCAAGCAAAUCCCAUAAAGUUGUUCUCAGUUCGGAUUGUAGUCUGCAACUCGACUACAUGAAGCUGGAAUCGCUAGUAAUCGUAGAUCAGCACGCUACGGUGAAUACGUUCCCGGGUCU